AUGGGACAGAAUUACAGAAAAAGAACAGCGAUGGGAAAGUCUUUGCCUGUUUCUGGCAGCAGCUGAAGUUCAGUCGACUGGUGGAGAAAAUCUGAAGGUGCUUCUCUCUGCUAUGUUGUGAAAGAGAGGCGGGUUGCCAUGUUCCUCUGAU